rnacentral:rRNA from 1 species
UGGGCAUUGGGCGGGCGCAUACACAUGCAAGUCGAGCGAGGGCUCAUUUCCCGCAAGGGAGAUGGGUUCCUAGCGGCGAACGGGUGAGUAACACGUGGGCAACCUUUCCUAUCGCGGGGGAUAACAGCGGGAAACCGCUGCUAAUACCGCAUGUCGUCACCGGUCGCAUGGCCGGUGAAGAAAGCAGCAAUGCACGAUGGGGUGGGCCCGCGGCCUAUCAGCUAGUCGGUGGGGUAACGGCCUACCGAGGCGAUGACGGGUAGCUGGUCUGAGAGGACGACCAGCCACACGGGGACUGAGACACGGCCCCGACUCCUACGGGAGGCAGCAGUGAGGAAUCUUCCGCAAUGGGCGAAAGCCUGACGGAGCGACGCCGCGUAUGGGGAUGAAGUCCCUUCGGGAUGUAACCCACUGUUGGGAGGGGGAAGACAUCGACGGGACCCUUCCAAAAAAGCCCCGGCCUAACUACCGUGCCAGCAGCCCGCGGUUAAUACGUAGGGGGGCUAGGGGUUUCCCCAAAUUUCCUGGGCGUAAAACCCCGUGUUAGGGCGGUUGGGUAGGGGGGAUUGGAAAAUCCCCCGGGCCCCACCCCAAAAACUUGUUUGCAAACCGGCCCGGGCUAAGGGGAGGGAAAGGGAAACGGGAAUUCCCGGGUUAGGGGGGAAAUGGCCAAAUUUUUGGGGAGAAACCCAGGGGAAAGGGGGUUCCCGGCCUGUCCCGCCCUGAACCCCAAGCUGGGGGGGAAACGAAUUAAAACCCGGGGGCCCCCCCCCAAAAUUGGAAAAGGGUUGUCGGGAUUCCCCCUCAUGCCCCCCUAACCCUUAAUGUCUCCCUUGGGGUACCCGCCCCAGGUGAAAAUCAAAGAAUGGGGGGGCCCCCCCACGGGGGGGAGAGGGUUUUUUUUUUGCCCGGAAAAUCUUCCCCUCUUACGUGGCGGAUUCCCGAGGUGUGGGCAAAAAAAACCAACAAGGGCUGUGGUUUUUCUCCCCUGUGAAAGGGGGGUAAACCAAAAAAGACUCUAUUUUUUUUGCGGUGUGCGGAUACAAGAACUGGGAUAUAGGGAGAGGGAUAAUAUCUUUUCUUUAUAAGUCUCCCUCCUCGGGAUAAUAAACCUCUCGAGAGCACACAAAAGUGCUUGUGUUGCUUCCUCUGUAGGAGCAGUCAUUGAUAGAGUAGAUUCGGCUUGCUCCGCCCUCAUAUGAGUGUCUAUUACUCGUAGCAAACUGAAGAGAGAGAGUGGAGUG